AUAAGAAGGGAAUUGGAAAGGCAAAAGUAAAAAUUAAAUUGCAUUAAGAAAUCAGCAUACCAGCAGAUCCACUCCCACACUUGGCAAUUAAUGCAAAGAGAUGCAGAGUUAACACUUGUUGCCCUGUUCUGUGUGCAGUGAAUGGGGGAGUGACUCUGGCUAGUACUGCUGGCGUGCACAGAGCUUUGGUUCAUCAUAGACUGAUAUGGUUCUUUUUAAUAUUUCUGAACAAACUUUGGUUCUCACUAGUGACUAAUGUGUCAUGCAGAGAUGUUCUGUUGGGGGUUUCUCAUAUUUUCAUUUUUAAGGGAAAGCUGGGGGAUUAAAUCUCUGUGAAAGAUACUCAUUCUCAUACAUAAUUACAUAUGCACAGAGUAAUUGAGAAUCCCUCUCGCAGAGCAGAAAUCGGAUUGAGAGGUACACCUAAUAAAAUUACAUGUGAUUAUUGAAAUAUUGAGUAUUUAAUUACAAUUUUUAACCCAUGGGCUCUCAUAGUUCCCAAUGGAGCUAUAAUCAAACUGUCCCUAUUGUGGGGAAAAAAAUAGCAUUCAUAACAAACAAGAUGACUGCAGCGGUUUUUCCAAGAAAUGCCAACAUGAAAAUGCUUAAGGCUGCUAUAGCAAGAGAUAAAUAACUUGCACAAUCAGCAUGACUAAAUACUUUAACUAUUUAUUUGCUGUAAUGCAUUUUACUUGGUCGCACUUUCUGGUUAAACUUUGUUAUGGUCAGAUGCCAUCACUGUUAGAAGUACAGAAGUUAGAAGUCAGGCCACCAUGUCUCUUUUGGGUGCAGGUGGCUGCGCUCAGAUUCUCUGGAAAUCCUGGAGUGUGGAGCCAACCUGACAUUUCAGUCUCCAGGCUGAUACCAUCCAGGCUCUGUGAAUACUGAAGCAGGAGAAAGGAUUGACUAUUUUCUCUUUUAUUUCCAAAAAAUGGAAAAGAGGUUUACUUCAGAUAAAACAGGUCAAUACCUGGCAGACUGAGGGCAAUCAGGCCAAAACUACUCAUUCACGACUUUAUUUUCAGAAAUAGCUCUUCACAGUCCUCAAGCUGAUCCCCAACACAGAUUUAUAGCCACACACCUCAUCUCGCCACAGUGUUCAUUUUGUCAGGAUAAACAAUCUUUACCAAGUACUAUCAAGAUUUCUCCCUACAAGAUUU